rnacentral:tRNA from 1 species
GCCUGGCUGGCUCAGUUGGAAGAGCAUGUGACUCUUGAUCGCAAAGUGAUGAGUUUGAGCCCCAUGCUGGGUG